GACGAACGCUGGCGGCGUGCUUAACACAUGCAAGUCGAACGAAGUGGAGUACGGGUGAGUAAUACGUGGGUUACCUGCCCUCCUUUUUGGGAUGAGCCUUGGCAACGGGGUCUAAUACCGUAUAAAGGGGGAUGGGCUAGCGGCUUGUCAGCGUGUUGGUGGGGUGAUGGCCUACCAAGGCAGUGACGGGUAGCCAGCCUGAGAGGGUGACCGGCCACUUUGAGACUGAGAUAAUGCCCAGACGACGACGGGAGGCAGCAGUGGGGGAUAUUGCACAAUGGGUGAAAGACUGAUGCAGCGACGCCGCGUAGGGGAUGAAGGUUUUCGGAUUGUAAACCUAUUUAGCAAUCGAAAGGGUAGGUGAAGAAGAAGCGCCGGCUAACUACGUGCCAGCAGCUGCGGUAAUUC
rnacentral:rRNA from 1 species